rnacentral:rRNA from 1 species
UACGUAGGGUGCAAGCGUUGUCCGGAAUUAUUGGGCGUAAAGAGCUCGUAGGCGGUCUGUCGCGUCGGCUGUGAAAACCCGGGGCUCAACCCCGGGCCUGCAGUCGAUACGGGCAGACUAGAGUGCGGUAGGGGAGACUGGAAUUCCUGGUGUAGCGGUGGAAUGCGCAGAUAUCGGGAGGAACACCGGUGGCGAAGGCGGGUCUCUGGGCCGUUACUGACGCUGAGGAGCGAAAGCGUGGGGAGCGAACAGG